AAGCCGGGUUACGGUGCCCAACUGCGCGCUAACCUAGAACCCACAAAGGAUGUUGGUCGAUUAAGACAGCAGGAGGGUGGUCAUGGAAGUCGAAAUCCGCUAAGGAGUGUGUAACAACUCACCUGUCGAAUCAACUAGCCCCGAAAAUGGAUGGCACUUAAGCGCGCGACCUAUACCCGGCCGUCGGGGCAAGGGCCAGGCCCUGAUG
rnacentral:ncRNA from 1 species